GACGAACCGUGCAAACGUUAUUCGGAAUCACUGGGCAUAAAGGGCGCGUAGGCGGCUUGACAAGUCAGGGGUGAAAUCCGGCAGCUUAACUGUCGCAGUGCCUUUGAUACUGUCGAGCUCGAGGGAGGUAGGGGUCUGUGGAACUUCCGGUGGAGCGGUGAAAUGCGUUGAUAUCGGAAGGAACGCCGGUGGCGAAAGCGACGGACUGGAUCUCUUCUGACGCUGAGGCGCGAAAGCGUGGGGAGCAAACAGG
rnacentral:rRNA from 1 species